CUGAAGAAAGAGUACAGAUUUGUUGAGACCAAAGAAACUGUUCGCCUUCAGUGCAAAAUGGAGGGCAAUCCAUGUCCGGAGAUCUCUUGGACCAAAGAUGGGAAGGCGUUAGAAGCUACAGAACAGAUGACCUUGGAAUGGGAUGCCAAAACUGGUGUAGCAGCCGUUGUGUUUAAAGGUGUGAGUGUGUCAAACACCGGGAAAUACGAGUGUGUGGCCACUUCUAAAGUAGGGACGAUCAAAUCGGCUACAACCAUGACUGUUAAAGUACCAGAGAGGGCCCCAUCAGUUGUGGAACCAUUGAACAAAGGGUAUAAUGCUUUGGAAUCUGAUGAAAAUGUUUGUCUAAAAUGUAAAGUGGAUGGAAACCCAGUUCCUGAAAUCUCAUGGACAUAGAAUGGUAAAAACUUGUCAGCAAGUGACAAAAUAAAAAUGGAAUGGGACGCUGCCAGCUGUACCGCUUCCUUAAUACUCAAACAUCCGAAAACUAGUGAUUCUGGAAAUUACGAAUGUGUUGCGAAGUCUUCUGCUGGUACAACAAAUUCUCCAACCAAAUUGGCUGUCAAAAAACCAGACAUAAUACCGACCGUUCAGAGGCAUCUAGAAAAGACCUAUACCACCGUAGAAGGUGGGAAGUCUCUGCGGCUAGAGUGUCAGGUGGACGGCUUUCCAAGUCCCUAUGUCACAUGGAUAAAAAAUGGGAAAGAUGUUGUCGUUGGUUGCAAUGUUGCUAUGGAGUGGGAUCCAGAUACUGGUAGCGCCGCCCUGGUGUUCAAACAGCCAACAUGUGAGGAUUCUGGUGACUACCAGUGUGUGGCCACAUCACCUGUGGGUACCACAAACUCUCACACAACACUUACUGUCAAAAAACCAGAAAAAGUUCCGUCUGUUGUUGAACAACUAGACAAGGUAUACGAUUGCCAGGAAGGAGGCGACAGUGUCCGACUAACAUGUAGAAUGGAGGGAAACCCUAGCCCCACUAUCACAUGGAUAAAAGAUGGAAAGAAAGUGACUCCUGGUGAUAAUGUUGCUAUGGAGUGGGAUCCAGAUACUGGUAGCGCCGCCCUGGUGUUCAAACAGCCAACGUGUGAGGAUUCUGGUGACUACCAGUGUGUGGCAACAUCACCUGUGGGUACCACAAACUCUCACACGACACUUACUGUCAAAAAAAUACCUUCAGUGGUUGAACCACUUAACAAGGCAUACGAGCCUGUCGAAGGAGACCAAAAUGUACGUCUGGUGUGUAAACUGGAUGGAACUCCAGCUCCCGAAGUCACAUGGCUUAAAGAUGGAAAGAAGUUGACUCCUGGUGAUAAUGUUGCUAUGGAGUGGGAUCCAGAUACUGGUAGCACCGCCCUGGUGUUCAAACAGCCUACGUGUGAGGAUUCUGGUGACUACCAGUGUGUGGCAACAUCACCUGUGGGUACCACAAACUGUCACACAACACUUACUGUCAAAAAAAUACCUACAGUGGUUGAACCACUUAACAAGGCAUACGAGCCUGUCGAAGGAGACCAAAAUGUACGUCUGGUGUGUAAACUGGACGGAACUCCAGCUCCCGAGAUCACAUGGCUUAGAGAUGGAAAGAAAGUGACUCCUGGUGAUAAUGUUGCUAUGGAGUGGGAUCCGGAUACUGGUAGCGCCGCCCUGGUGUUCAAACAGCCAACGUGUGAGGAUUCUGGUGACUACCAGUGUGUGGCCACAUCACCUGUGGGUACCACAAACUCUCACACGACACUUACUGUCAAAAAAAUACCUACAGUGGUUGAACCACUUAACAAGGCAUCCGAGCCUGUCGAAGGAGACCAAAAUGUACGUCUGGUGUGUAAACUGGACGGAACUCCAGCUCCCGAAGUCACAUGGCUUAGAAAUGGAAAGAAAGUGACUCCUGGUGAUAAUGUUGCUAUGGCGUGGGAUCCAGAUACUGGUAGCGCCGCCCUGGUGUUCAAACAGCCUACGUGUGAAGAUUCUGGUGACUACCAGUGUGUGGCCACAUCACCUGUGGGUACCACAAACUCUCACACGACACAUACUGUCAAAAAAAUCCCAACUGUUAUUGAGCAAUUAGAAAAGUCGUACGAUUCUGUUGAGGGGACUGACAGUGUCACCCUUGUUUGUAAGAUUGAUGGAAAUCCCUGCCCAGAAAUAUGCUGGUGGAAAGAUGGCCAGAAGAUAAAGUCUGGUGACAAUGUUGCUAUGGAGUGGGAUCAAGAUACUGGUAGCGCCGCCCUGGUGUUCAAACAGCCAACAUGUGAAGAUUCUGGUGACUACCAGUGUGUGGCCACAUCACCUGUGGGUACCACAAACUCUCACACGACACUAACUGUCAAAAAGAAAACAAAGGCACCAGGUGUUGUAAGGCCAUUGGACAGUGCCUACAACUCGACAGAGGGGGGCGAGGUUGUCCGCCUUGUAUGUGAGGUGGAGGGAAAUCCUACUCCCCAAAUAACCUGGUUAAAAGAUGGGAAGGAGGUUACUCCUGGCAACAAUGUUGCUAUGGAGUGGGAUCCAGAUACUGGUAGCGCCGCCCUGGUGUUUAAACAGCCAACGUGUGAAGAUUCUGGUGACUACCAGUGUGUGGCCACAUCACCUAUGGGUACCACAAACUCUCACACGACACUUAAUAUCAAUAAACGACCUACCGUCACAAAGCCACUGGAGAAGAUUUACACAUGUAAAGCGGGUGACAAGAAUGUCCGCCUUGUUUGUACGGUGACGGGAAAACCUAGCCCGGAGGUGUCCUGGUCAAAAGGCGGGAAGGAAAUUAAAUCGAGUGGUAGCAUCAAAAUAGAAUGGGAUGUCAUCACUGGUAGCGCCGCCCUGGUGUUCAAGCAGCCAACGUGUCCUGACUCUGGUGACUACCAGUGUAUGGCCUCGUCACCACUGGGUAGUACUAGCACUUCUACCACUCUCAAGGUGAAAAAACCUGAAAAGAAGCCAGCUGUUGUGAAGCCUUUAGACAGAGAGUACAACCUGACGGAGACCAAAGAGCCCAUCACACUCACCUUCAAGGUCGACGGGAACCCUGUGCCAGAGGUGUCAUGGGUAAAGGAUGGGAAACCAUUGGAGGCUGGAGGAAACAUCUCAUUUGACUGGAACGCUGAGACUGGAUCAGCCAGCUUGAUUUUCAAAGGCGUAAGCGUGAAGGAUUCUGGGAAAUAUGAGUGCGUGGCGACCUCAACCAUUGGUAAAACGACAUCCAGCACAGCCAUUGUUGUCAAGACUUCAGAGCCAGAAAAGAAACCAACAUUUUCAGCACCUCUUCAAAAAGAAAACAACAAGAAGGAAGGAGAUGAAAACUUUGUGCUGACCUGUACGGUAGAGGGCAACCCUCGUCCAGAAGUAUCAUGGGUCAAGAAUGGAGAAAAAAUAGCAGCAGAUGGCAACACCAGUGUAAAAUAUGAUGCCGAAAAAGGCAUAGCGACAUUGACCUUGAAGGUAUUGUCGUGUGCCGACAGCGGGAACUACGAGUGUGUGGCCGUUUCAUCUGCUGGCACGGGGAAGUCUGUUGCAAAAUUAACCGUGAAGAUGCCGGAAAUCAAACCCAAGUUCUCAAAGGAGCUGGAUGAGGCUUAUAAUGUCCUUGUAGGGGACAACAAUGUCAAAAUGGCUUGUGUUGUCGAUGGCAACCCAUGUCCUGAUGUGUCCUGGUUCAAGGCUGGAAAGAAGGAGAAAUUGAUGGAGACAAGCAAUAUGAAGAUGAAAUGGACCCCAAGCACUGGCCAUGCUGAUCUGAUCUUCAACAGCAUCAGUUUGUCCGAUGCAGGCACCUAUGUGUGUGUAGCAGACUCGGCAAUAGGAAGCAAAAAGAGCGAGACAACCCUCAAGGUCACAAAGCGUGUAUGUCCACCAGUCUUUACAGACAUGGCUGCCAGUCAGACUGUACCUGUCGGAGGGGUAGCUGUCUUCAAGGGUAUCAUCACGUCCAAAUCUCCGGCUACAUUUACCUGGAAAAAGGGAAGCGCUGUCCUUUCAAACACAGACAGGAUCAAGAUUGCAGUAUCCAAGACAGAAACAAGCCUGACGAUCACAGGCGUCCAGUUUGAUGAUCGUGCCACGUACACUUGCUCGGCCAAGAAUGAGGAUGGAGAAGAGCACACCUCAGGCGACCUGAAUGUCGAGGAAAAGGGUGUUAGGGGUAGAUGGACGCCGUUUGAGGACGAACCCAGCAAGUUUAUAGCUGGGGACGAGGAUGAUGUUUUCCUGCCGGAUGUACAAAAGCCUAAAGACAGUUACACAUGGGACACGUAUGUUAAGGAUAUAACGAUACUGGCUGAAGGAUACCCCGUUGUCAUAGCUGAUAACAUUUUCAAUGAUGAGGAGUCUGUCGUCCAACAUGCACACUCCAAUGCUAGCAACAUUGAACCAGUCAAUGAAGAAGAGGAAUAUGUUGUUACUAUGACGAUGAGUUCUGACCAGGAUGACAGUACAGAAAUAAUGAACUUGGACAUGAACAACAGUAAUGGUGCGGAAUAUUUGGAGAAUGGAACGACAGAGUCUAACUCUUCAGCAGAAGCCACCUCAUCUGUCCAUGAAGAGGGAGUUAGGUCCCCCACCUCAUCUGUCCAUGAGGAAGGAGUUAGGUCCCCCACCUCAUCUGUCCACGAGGAGGGAGUUAGGUCCCCCACCUCAUCUGUCCACGAGGAGGGAAUUAGGUCCCCCACCUCAUCUGUCCACGAGGAGGGAAUUAGGUCCCCCACCUCAUCUGUCCACGAGGAGAGAGUUAGGUCCCUCACCUCAUCUGUCCACGAGGAGGGAAUUAGGUCCCUCACCUCAUCUGUCCACCAGGAGGGAAUUAGGUCCUUGUUGAUUCAAAACCAAGAAGAAGACAAUGCUAGAUCAGAAGAGAUGGAAAAUGGCUUUGAAACAAUAGAGGAUUUGGAAACAAAUCAUGGUAUCGUAAGGAACAUGGACUUGAAGGAAAUACUCCAGGGUAGUGGUACAUUGACUACUGAGGAAGAUAAGGAUUGUACGAUCUCCGGUCACCCUGAAUCUCCUGUCAAACCCAUAAACUUUAAUUUCCUUAUCAACUCUGGCCCUGAUGAAGAAUCUGGUGAAGAUACCUAUUCUUACGAGUACUUGUCAGAAUCUGAAGAAGAUUUUACCCAAACCCUCAACAGCGCUCAUGGCAAGGAAUACAUAGAUGAUGCACGCUCUAGUGAUGGGACAUUGGUGAAGGAUCUAGAGAAGGCAGUACCAGACGAUAGGGACAUAGAACUUGACCAUGGGACCAUGAUAAGGGACCUGGGGAUGGUGAAAGAGACUGUCGAUGGUGAUUUGGAGGAAAAAGCUGAACAGGAUGUGGUUGAUGGUUCCGUCGAAUCCAAGGUAUCGGAGUCUGUAAAGGUUGCUGAAACAAAAUCAGAAGUGACAGCCACACAGGAAGUGAAGGAAACUAAGGAAGAGGUCAAGGUCACCAAGGUCACUUCAGAGUCUGUGUCAGCAGCAGGUGAGCAAUCAGUGGAGAGAUUGUCCCAGGGUGCGGCAAACACUAUCACAGACGUAAACAAGUCUACCGUACAAGUACUUGAGGAACUGGAGACUUCCGUCACCAAGCUAAACGAAACACUAAGUCAAUCACAAGAAACAAGUGUUACAUCGAGUACAUUAGACAGUAGAAUACAAAUUGUGGAGGUCACAGCAAGACACGUUGCCAAGGAAACCACCGACUUAGCUGGUGCGGUGCGUCAUCGUCACCAUGACCAUCAUGGACCUGAGGUCAUCAUCCCCGCAAAUUCAGCCGCAAUUCCUGAACACAGUGAGGUUGAGUUGAUGGUGAAAGUCCGAGCCGCUAAGCAGGCCAAUGUUCGCUGGAUGCAUGAAGGCGAGGUUGUUCAACACUCAGAGCGACGCUACGCCCUGUUUUUCAUGCUUUACAUACUGGCCUAUUAUAUAUUUCUCACCCGCACCUGAACACGACAUCUACUUGAACUUACUCAGACACAUUCCAGUCUCUAAGCAGUUACAAGUAGUGUUUGCUUGUUCACACAAAGUGUGUAUAGACAUAAGCUUUUUUGCGAAUUUCUACAUAAAUGGAUUACAAAACAACUGUACAUUUUGGUCACUACGAAAUGUUAGAGGAGGAAGAAUUUAUAAAGAAGUAGAUCUUCUGUACCUACUAAAUAUCAAACAGCGCCAUCUGUGAACAUGUGUUGUAGUCAUAUAUGGGAGGACAAACUCCUGACGUCUGUAUCCAAUAUCAGGGUGAAAUACAGUGAAAGAUUUGUGAUCUGCCGGUGAAAUCCAUCACAAACACCUGUAGAAGACAUUUUGGCCACUACAGAACUAUAUAGCCAGUCCAAUAGACGAUGUGUCCUUGUCGAUAAUUACAUAGUAUUGUUUAGUUUGAAAACCGAAAAGAAUGUGUUAAAAAUAGAUCAUAUUACUAUAAAUAGAUCAUUGGCAUGUGUUACAUACAUUAGGUUGCUAUUAAUAGAUCUAAGCUGUGCUGACCAUACAUCAGGUUCCUAUAAAUAGAUUGUAGCUGUGUUAACAUAUAUCAAGUUACUAUAAAUAGAACGAUGACAUGUGCAUGAUGAAACCCUACCUAUUGUGAAACAAGAAAUUGACCAGCUCAGAAAAUAUACAUUUCAACGCUACUCCGUGAUCUGAUAUUAAAAGUGACAAUGUUCAAGCUUGAUGUUCAUCUUGUGGUAAAAAUAAUCCAGCUUCAGAUUUUCAUAGCUAGCCUAGUCAAAGGCAUCAUACACAAGGUCACCUACAGGUGGAAAUAGAAAAACGCCAAAUCCAUUCAAAGAACCUAUUAUCUGUUUAUGAUGCAGAAUACAAUAUCUUAGAUGCAUUCGUUACAAUCCCAUCCCGUGUUUCAUGUCUAAAAAAUUCCAUUCAGAAUUUUCACAUCAUCCUUGAUCAUUAUUAGCUACUUUGUCUGGUAUAGCCUCACUGAAAAACAGUAAAAUAGGCCAGUCUUUUUUAAGGGAAAUAAAUCUUCUACAAGCGAAAAAAGAAAAACAUUUGCCUGUCUACCAGGAUACAUGAUAGACAUGAUAGUUUUGUUUUAGGGAAUGAUAGAAAGAGUGUUAGAGGUCAUGUAUUGUUUUUAUCUAUAAUAAUCAGUUUGUUGUAUUUAUUUAGGAAAAUGAAUGAAAUAAGUAGAAAAAAUGUAAAAUUUGACUAGAAAUUGUAUAACCAUAAAAAAAUUGUAUUUAAUAGUUUUAAUCCUACCUGAAUGACUUUGUUACGAAGACAGCAGAACCUACUCGUCUUUCAUAGCCACAUUUGUUAGAUGUAUUACUGUGCGAGUAGUCUUUGACAAGGUUGUAAUAUUAUAAAAUAUAACCUCUCGUUGAUACUCUAGUAUAUACCAAAGUGAUGUCAAUACAUAUCUAACCUUAUCCAUCUUUUGGGUUUGUCCAUCUGUCUUUUCUUCUCCUACAUUUCACAAUGGACCUACCCAACUUGUACUUGUUGGGAGAGUUCAUUGUGACCUGUAAGGGGUGAGCAAGUGACUCAUCAUACACAUUCCUUGUUUUCUAUUUGUAGAGAGUUCCAUGUUGUAUAUACAUACACUAACUUAUUAUGCUGUGAUUAGUAUGUACCUUAUCUUUACAUGUGUGGGCCUGACCAUUAUCUGUCUGUAUAUUGAUUGCACAACUGUUAACCAUGGGAAAGGAAUGUUUGUCAUGAAAAUAAAAUUGAAAAAAUCUCCAAA